UGGGGGAUAUUGCACAAUGGGGGAAACCCUGAUGCAGCAACGCCGCGUGAAGGAAGAAGGUCUUCGGAUUGUAAACUUCUGUCCUAUGGGAAGAUAAUGACGGUACCAUAGGAGGAAGCUCCGGCUAACUACGUGCCAGCAGCCGCGGUAAUACGUAGGGAGCGAGCGUUGUCCGGAUUUACUGGGUGUAAAGGGUGCGUAGGCGGAAGAGCAAGUCAGUAGUGAAAUCUAUGGGCUUAACCCAUAAACUGCUAUUGAAACUGUUUUUCUUGAGUGAAGUAGAGGUAGGCGGAAUUCCCGGUGUAGCGGUGAAAUGCGUAGAGAUCGGGAGGAACACCAGUGGCGAAGGCGGCCUACUGGGCUUUAACUGACGCUGAGGCACGAAAGUGUGGGUAGCAAACA
rnacentral:rRNA from 1 species